rnacentral:rRNA from 1 species
UACGGAGGGCGCUAGGGUUGUUCGGAAUCACUGGGCGUAAAGCGCGUGUAGGCGGCUUGGUAAGUCGGGUGUGAAAGCCCGGGGCCUAACCCCGGAACUGCACUCGAAACUGCCUCGCUCGAGUCUCGGAGAGGAUGGUGGAAUUCCCGGUGUAGUGGUGAAAUACGUAGAUAUCGGGAGGAACACCAGCAGCGAAGGUGGCCAUCUGGACGGUGACUGACGCUGAGACGCGAAAGCGUGGGGAGCAAACAGG